CCUACGGGAGGCAGCAGUGAGGAAUAUUGGUCAAUGGACGAGAGUCUGAACCAGCCAAGUAGCGUGAAGGAUGACUGCCCUAUGGGUUGUAAACUUCUUUUAUAAAGGAAUAAAACGAGGCACGUGUGCCUUUUUGCAUGUACUUUAUGAAUAAGGAUCGGCUAACUCCGUGCCAGCAGCCGCGGUAAUACGGAGGAUCCGAGCGUUAUCCGGAUUUAUUGGGUUUAAAGGGAGCGUAGAUGGGUUGUUAAGUCAGUUGUGAAAGGUUGCGGCUCAACCGUAAAAUUGCAAUUGAUACUGGCAGUCUUGAGUACAGAUGAGGUAGGCGGAAUUCGUGGUGUAGCGGUGAAAUGCUUAGAUAUCACGAAGAACCCCGAUUGCGAAGGCAGCUUACUAAACUGUGACUGACAUUGAUGCUCGAAAGUGUGGGUAUCAAACAGGAUUAGAUACCCCUGUAGUC
rnacentral:rRNA from 1 species